rnacentral:pre_miRNA from 7 species
AUUUCCUCAUAUACUGUAAGACCCCCUUUCAGGGACCCCCUUCUCUAGUCUCGGGAGUGUGAGAGCACCCAAAGAAACACAAGGACCC